UACGUAGGGUGCAAGCGUUAAUCGGAAUUACUGGGCGUAAAGCGUGCGCAGGCGGUUGUGCAAGACCGAUGUGAAAUCCCCGGGCUUAACCUGGGAACUGCAUUUGUGACUGCAUAGCUAGAGUACGGUAGAGGGGGAUGGAAUUCCGCGUGUAGCAGUGAAAUGCGUAGAUAUGCGGAGGAACACCGAUGGCGAAGGCAAUCCCCUGGACCUGUACUGACGCUCAUGCACGAAAGCGUGGGGAGCAAACAGG
rnacentral:rRNA from 1 species